rnacentral:rRNA from 1 species
UGGACGAACGCUGGCGGCGUGGAUUAGGCAUGCAAGUCGAACGGUAUCAUCCUUUCGGGGGUGAGAGAGUGGCGAACUGGUGAGUAACACGUAGGUUAUCUACCCUCAAGACGGGGACAACCCAGGGAAACUUGGGCUAAUACCGGAUGUGAGCAACUUUUAGUUGUUUGAAAGGUGGCGUAAGCUGUCGCUUGGGGAUGAGCCUGCGUCCUAUUAGUUAGUUGGUGAGGUAACGGCUCACCUAGGCAAUGAUAGGUAGGCGGCCUUAACGGGUGGUCGCCCACACUGGGAUUGAGAUACGGCCCAGACUCCUACGGGAGGCAGCAGUCGAGAAUAGUCUACAAUGGUCGGAAGACUGAUAGUGCGACGCCGCGUGAACGAUGAAUCCCUUCGGGGUGUAAAGUUCUUUUAUAUGUGAGCAGUGCUUCUUAUAUUAACAGUAUGGGGAGAGAGAUAUUAGCAUAUGAAUAAGCAACGGCUAACUCCGUG